rnacentral:rRNA from 1 species
AUUGAACGCUGGCGGCAUGCCUUACACAUGCAAGUCGAACGGUAACAGGUUAAGCUGACGAGUGGCGAACGGGUGAGUAAUGUAUCGGAACGUGCCCAGUCGUGGGGGAUAACUGCUCGAAAGAGCAGCUAAUACCGCAUACGACCUGAGGGUGAAAGCGGGGGAUCGCAAGACCUCGCGCGAUUGGAGCGGCCGUUAUCAGAUUAGGUAGUUGGUGAGGUAAAGGCUCACCAAGCCGACGAUCUGUAGCUGGUCUGAGAGGACGACCAGCCACACUGGGACUGAGACACGGCCCAGACUCCUACGGGAGGCAGCAGUGGGGAAUUUUGGACAAUGGGCGCAAGCCUGAUCCAGCCAUGCCGCGUGCGGGAAGAAGGCCUUCGGGUUGUAAACCGCUUUUGUCAGGGAAGAAAAGGUUCUGGCUAAUACCUGGGACUCAUGACGGUACCUGAAGAAUAAGCACCGGCUAACUACGUG